CUUGGUCAUUUAGAGGAAGUAAAAGUCGUAACAAGGUUUCCGUAGGUGACGCCCGCAAGUUCGCCUACCGAAACCCACAGCAGCCGACUCUAAACCACCUGCUCGCAGUCAGCCUCCGCGUUGGCGACGCCUUCAACCUGCACUGGGAGCCCUGUUCGACAGGGCCACCAGCGGCUCCCUAUCCCGGAGUUCACAGGUCAAACGUGGGCGGCCACUUCCACCGGUUGUGGUUCAGAUAUGAUCGGCCCUAGCCGGCGACGGCUAGCGACUCUUCGCGGAACCUGCGGAAGGAUCAUU
rnacentral:rRNA from 1 species